ACGUAGGGCGCAAGCGUUGUCCGGAAUUAUUGGGCGUAAAGAGCUCGUAGGCGGUUUGUCGCGUCUGCUGUGAAAACCUCAGGCUUAACCUGGGGCUUGCAGUGGGUACGGGCAGGCCAGAGUGCGGUAGGGGAGACUGGAAUUCCUGGUGUAGCGGUGGAAUGCGCAGAUAUCAGGAGGAACACCGGUGGCGAAGGCGGGUCUCUGGGCCGUUACUGACGCUGAGGAGCGAAAGCAUGGGGAGCGAACAG
rnacentral:rRNA from 1 species